AUCCCUUUAGCGCAAUGACUAGUGCGUUGGACUUCUACUCCAAAGGUCGUGGGUUCGAAUCCCACCUGGAAUG
rnacentral:tRNA from 1 species